AUAUAAAUGACUCUCGGCAACGGAUAUCUCGGCUCUUGCAUCGAUGAAGAACGUAGCGAAAUGCGAUACUUGGUGUGAAUUGCAGAAUCCCGUGAACCAUCGAGUCUUUGAACGCAAGUUGCGCCUGAAGCCAUUAGGCUGAAGGCACGCCUGCCUGGGUGUCACAC
rnacentral:rRNA from 1 species